rnacentral:rRNA from 1 species
CCUACGGGAGGCAGCAGUGAGGAAUAUUGGUCAAUGGACGAGAGUCUGAACCAGCCAAGUAGCGUGAAGGAUGACUGCCCUAUGGGUUGUACACUUCUUUUAUAAAGGAAUAAAACGAGGCACGUGUGCCUUUUUGCAUGUACUUUAUGAAUAAGGAUCGGCUAAAUCCGUGCCAGCAGCCGCGGUAAUACGGAGGAUCCGAGCGUUAACCGGAUUUAUUGGGUUUAAAGGGAGCGUAGAUGGGUUGUUACGGCAGUUGUGAAAGUUUGCGGCUCAACCGUAAAAUUGCAAUUGAUACUGGCAGUCUUGAGUACAGUUGAGGUAGGCGGAAUUCGUGGUGUAGCGGUGAAAUGCUUAGAUAUCACGAAGAACCCCGAUUGCGAAGGCAGCUUACUAAACUGUGACUGACAUUGAUGCUCGAAAGUGUGGGUAUCAAACAGGAUUAGAUACCCCUGUAGUC